rnacentral:rRNA from 1 species
UAAAAGCUACCCUGGGGAUAACAGGCUUAUCACUCCCAAGAGUUCACAUCGACGGAGUGGUUUGGCACCUCGAUGUCGGCUCAUCGCAUCCUGGGGCUGUAGUAGGUCCCAAGGGUUGGGCUGUUCGCCCAUUAAAGCGGUACGCGAGCUGGGUUCAGAACGUCGUGAGACAGUUCGGUCCCUAUCCGGCGUGGGCGUAGGAUAUCUGAGAGGAGCUGUCCUUAGUACGAGAGGACCGGGAUGGACGGACCGCUGGUGUACCGGUUAGACUGCCAAGUCUACGGCCGGGUAGCCAAGUCCGGAAGGGAUAAACGCUGAAGGCAUCUAAGCGUGAAGCCCCCCUCAAGAUGAGAUAUCCCAUCCGAAAGGAGUAAACCCCCUUGAAGACGACGAGGUAGAUAGGGCAGGGGUGGAAGUGUGGUAACACACGGAGCUGACUGUUACUAAUAGGGUGAGGGCUUGACCAA